rnacentral:rRNA from 1 species
UACGAAGGGGGCGAGCGUUAUUCGGAAUCACUGGGCGUAAAGCGUGCGUAGGCUGUUCUGCAAGUCAGAAGUGAAAGCCCAAGGCUCAACCUUGGAAGCGCUUUUGAAACUGCAGGACUCGAAUUCAGGAGAGGAUAGCGGAAUUCCCAGUGUAGCAGUGAAAUGCGUAGAUAUCGGGAGGAACACCAGUGGCGAAGGCGACUUCCUGGCCUGUUCUUGACGCUGAGGCGCGAAAGCUAGGGUAGCAAACGGG